rnacentral:lncRNA from 1 species
ACUUGCUGUGAGUCCCUUAUCACAACUGAUCACUCCGUGGGGUCACCGCUGCUCUGGCGUCUACCUCCCCCAACAGGUUGGGGUUUCUAGGAGGGCAGCUCCAGAGGUUGCAGAACACUCCGCUGCCUCUCCAGAGCCAGGCACACAGCAGGCGCUCCAUAAAUGUUCGUUGGCAGCUGCCAGGCAGAGGCCACUGGGGAACAACAACAAUGACUAAUCACACUGGCCAGCGGGUGGACAGCGCUCACUGCAAGCCAAGCCCUCCUUCAUACUCACAAAAGCCCAUUUUGCAGUCUUUUCUCCUUGCUCAGCUUCAAUGUGUUCCGGAGUGGGGACGGGGUGGCUGAACCUCGCAGGUGGCAGAGAGGCUCCCCUGGGGCUGUGGGGCUCUACGUGGAUCCGAUGGAGCCGCUGGUGACCUGGGUGGUCCCCCUCCUCUUCCUCUUCCUGCUGUCCAGGCAGGGCGCUGCCUGCAGAACCAGUGAGUGCUGUUUUCAGGACCCGCCAUAUCCGGAUGCAGACUCAGGCUCGGCCUCGGGCCCUAGGGACCUGAGAUG